GAUGAACGCUGGCGGCGUGCCUAAUACAUGCAAGUCGAGCGAACGGACGAGAAGCUUGCUUCUCUGAUGUUAGCGGCGGACGGGUGAGUAACACGUGGAUAACCUACCUAUAAGACUGAGAUAACUUCGGGAAACCGGAGCUAAUACCGGAUGAUAUUUUGAACCGCAUGGUUCAAAAGUGAAAGACGGUCUUGCUGUCACUUAUAGAUGGAUCCGCGCUGCAUUAGCUAGUUGGUAAGGUAACGGCUUACCAAGGCAACGAUGCAUAGCCGACCUGAGAGGGUGAUCGGCCACACUGGAACUGAGACACGGUCCAGACUCCUACGGGAGGCAGCAGUAGGGAAUCUUCCGCAAUGGGCGAAAGCCUGACGGAGCAACGCCGAGUGAGUGAUGAAGGUCUUCGGAUCGUAAAACUCUGUUAUUAGGGAAGAACAUAUGUGUAAGUAACUGUGCACAUCUUGACGGUACCUAAUCAGAAAGCCACGGCUAACUACGU
rnacentral:rRNA from 1 species